rnacentral:lncRNA from 1 species
CGAGCGAGUGAAUUUAUAUCGUCCGGCCGGCCGGCCGGCCGGCGGAGUAGCAAAGAUGGAGGCUUUUAGUUCUCAUCAAGGUAGGAGAGACCGAGAGAGGGAAGGAGGAUGUGACACUGACACUUGCUGCACGCGACGUCGCCGUCGCCGGCGCCGGCGGCGCUGCUGGGCACAGCACUGCAGCACAGCAUAGCGUUUGGAGGGCCGGGCGAGCUGUCGCGGCGUUGGAUGUUGCCUGUGCAGUGCUGAUCGUGC